GAAGUAAAAGCGUAACAAGGUUUCCGUAGGUGAACCUGCGGAAGGAUCAUUACUGAGUGAGGGCCCCUCGGGGUCCAACCUCCCACCCGUGUUUAACGAACCUUGUUGCUUCGGCGGGCCCGCCUCACGGCCGCCGGGGGGCAUCUGCCCCCGGGCCCGCGCCCGCCGAAGCCACCUGUGAACGCUGUCUGAAGUAUGCAGUCUGAGACAAUUAUUAAAUUAAUUAAAACUUUCAACAACGGAUCUCUUGGUUCCG
rnacentral:misc_RNA from 1 species